UCUGGAGGCUGCUAAGGAAAGGGAGGACUACCCUGGGAGUAACGCAGAUCAGAAGACCCCAGUGGACCCCUCUGGUGGAAUCCGACCUUAACCCUCAGCACAGAGCUGGGAGGUCCAUCAGACUUUGGGGAACAGAGCCCCUGGAGAGAAUAAAAGGAGCAGCAUGCCCUGCAUGAAGCAGACGCAUUGAGGGACAGAGUGAAGAGCAGGCAGUGAAGAGCUGGGGAAGAUCUACCAGUGGACAGAAGCUGUAGCCCAGAAGAGCCCCUGAAGACUCCCUCGGUGGGACUGGAGUGGCAAGCGGCUUCGGCCACAGCCCACCCCCAGCCAGUGCACAGCACAGUGCAUGAG